GUUUCUCAAAGGGGGUGGUUUUGUAAAACAAAGUUUGCUCCUGCAUAAGGUAAGUAAACAGAAAAAUGAAACCUGAGAACAUACUCCGAUAACCUGAUCUGGAUAAUGCCAGCGAAGGGACGGGAAACUACAGGGAC
rnacentral:ncRNA from 1 species